rnacentral:rRNA from 1 species
CAGUCGCCGCGGGAAUACGAAGGGUGCAAGCGUUACUCGGGAUUACUGGGCGUAAAGCGUGCGUAGGUGGUGGUUUAAGUCCGUUGUGAAAGCCCUGGGCUCAACCUGGGAAUUGCAGUGGAUACUGGGUCACUAGAGUGUGGUAGAGGAUAGUGGAAUCUCCGGUGUAGCGGUGAAAUGCGUAGAGAUCGGAAGGAACAUCUGUGGCGAAGGCGACUAUCUGGGCCAACACUGACACUGAGGCACGAAAGCGUGGGGAGCAAACAGGAUUAGAUACCCCUGUAGUCCCUGUCUCUUAUAC